rnacentral:rRNA from 1 species
GAUGAACGCUGACAGAAUGCUUAACACAUGCAAGUCAACUUGAAUUUGGGUUUUUAACUUAGGUUUGGGUGGCGGACGGGUGAGUAACGCGUAAAGAACUUGCCUCACAGGUAGGGACAACAUUUGGAAACGAAUGCUAAUACCUAAUAUUAUGAUAAUAGGGCAUCCUAUAAUUAUGAAAGCUAUAAGCGCUGUGAGAGAGCUUUGCGUCCCAUUAGCUAGUUGGAGAGGUAACGGCUCACCAAGGCGAUGAUGGGUAGCCGGCCUGAGAGGGUGAUCGGCCACAAGGGGACUGAGACACGGCCCUUACUCCUACGGGAGGCAGCAGUGGGGAAUAUUGGACAAUGGACCGAGAGUCUGAUCCAGCAAUUCUGUGUGCACGAUGAAGUUUUUCGGAAUGUAAAGUGCUUUCAGUUGGGAAGAAACAAAUGACGGUACCAACAGAAGAAG